AAACCAACCGGGAUUGCCUCAGUAGCGGCGAGUGAAGCGGCAAGAGCUCAAAUUUGAAAUCUAGCGCCUUUGGUGCUCGAGUUGUAAUUUGUAGAGUGGAUCCUUGGGGCCGCUCCUUGCCUAUGUUCCUUGGAACAGGACGUCAUGGAGGGUGAGAACCCCGUGUGGCGAGGGGUGCGGCUCCGUGUAAGGGCUGCUCGAAGAGUCGAGUUGUUUGGGAAUGCAGCUCUAAGUGGGUGGUAAAUUCCAUCUAAAGCUAAAUACUGGCGAGAGACCGAUAGCGAACAAGUACAGUGAUGGAAAGAUGAAAAGAACUUUGAAAAGAGAGUGAAAAAGUACGUGAAAUUGUUGAAAGGGAAGGGCAUUUGAUCAGACAUGGUGUUUUGCGCCCCCUGCUCCUUGUGGGCGGGGGACUCUCGCAGCUCACUGGGCCAGCAUCAGUUUUUGCGGCCGGACAAGGCCGGAGGAAUGUGGCUUCCCUCGGGAAGUGUUAUAGCCUACGGGAACGCGGCCAGCGGGGACUGAGGAACGCGACUUUUGUCAAGGAUGCUGGCAUAAUGGUUAUAUGCCGC
rnacentral:rRNA from 1 species